UACGAAGGGGGCGAGCGUUGUUCGGAUUUACUGGGCGUAAAGGGCGCGCAGGCGGCAGAUCAAGUCAGACGUGAAAGCCCCGGGCUUAACCUGGGAACUGCGUUUGGGACUGGUUUGCUAGAGAUCGGGAGAGGAGAGUGGAAUUCCCAGUGUAGAGGUGAAAUUCGUAGAUAUUCGCAAGAACACCAGUGGCGAAGGCGGCUCACUGGCCCGAUACUGACGCUGAGGCACGAAAGCGUGGGGAGCAAACAGG
rnacentral:rRNA from 1 species